rnacentral:lncRNA from 1 species
AUAGUACAUACUCACACACCUCUCUUCCCAUCAGGUUAUAAUUAUCUCAGGCUUAAAGUACCUAAUUAUCAAUAUCUGUUGCAAAUCACCAAUUGCUUUUGUUUAUGUUACAACAUGAAUCAUAACUAUUUGCAUCUCUUCAGAUAAAUGAAUCCCACUUUUACUAGUCUAUUAUCAUUAACAUUUAAUCCAAGGUGUUAUUUGUCUCUUGGGAAGUUCAAUUUGAGCUCAAAUAGCUUCUUUCCAUUCCAAUAAUAAUCUUUGCUAGUUAAGGGAGUGACUUUUUAAUGAUAAGUCAAUGAAACAUUAGUUUUUGGGUUCUUGGAAAAUUAUAAGCAAUUAAUUUCUUAAUGAAUAUAAGCAUCUCAAAAGUGCAUAGCUUUCUAAGUGUCUUAAUAUCCUUUACUGGCUGAGGAUAGGGAAAUAUAUUUUUUAGGCAGAAAUUAGUAAACACUUAUUUCUGAUAGCCAGUUGGUAUUAUGAUAAUGCAUUAUAAAAAUCACAUAAAAAGAAAAAAUAA